AAAGAUUUAGUUUAAAAAACAUUUAAUUGUCAAUUGAAAAUUACUUAAUUAGUAAUCUUUU
rnacentral:tRNA from 1 species